rnacentral:rRNA from 1 species
AGAGUUUGAUCCUGGCUCAGGACGAACGCUGGCGGCGUGCGUAACACAUGCAAGUCGAACGAGAGAGUGAGAGAAGCUUGCUUUUCUUACAAUCGAGUGGCAAACGGGUGAGUAACGCGUAAACAACCUGCCCCGCAGAUGGGGACAACAGCUGGAAACGGCUGCUAAUACCGAAUACGGUCCUCUUAGCGCAUGGUAAGAGGAAGAAAGGGUGGCCUCUGGAACAAGCUACCGCUGCGGGAGGGGUUUGCGUCUGAUUAGCUGGUUGGAGGGGUAACGGCCCACCAAGGCGACGAUCAGUAGCCGGUCUGAGAGGAUGAACGGCCACAUUGGAACUGAGACACGGUCCAGACUCCUACGGGAGGCAGCAGUGGGGAAUCUUCCGCAAUGGGCGAAAGCCUGACGGAGCAACGCCGCGUGAGUGAAGACGGCCUUCGGGUUGUAAAGCUCUGUUAUAGGGGACGAACGGCCGGGUAGCGAAGAGGUAGCCGGCAUGACGGUACCGUAAGAGAAAGCCACGGCUAACUACGUGCCAGCAGCCGCGGUAAUACGUAGGUGGCAAGCGUUGUCCGGAAUGAUUGGGCGUAAAGGGCGCGCAGGCGGCUGUGUAAGUCUGUCCAGAAAGUGCGGGGCUAAACCCCGUGAGAGGAUGGAAACUGGACAGCUGAGAGUGUCGGAGAGGAAAGCGGAAUUCCUAGUGUAGCGGUGAAAUGCGUAGAUAUUAGGAGGAACACCGGUGGCGAAAGCGGCUUUCUGGACGACAACUGACGCUGAGGCGCGAAAGCCAGGGGAGCAAACGGGAUUAGAUACCCCGGUAGUCCUGGCCGUAAACGAUGGGUACUAGGUGUAGGAGGUAUCGACCCCUCCUGUGCCGGAGUUAACGCAAUAAGUACCCCGCCUGGGGAGUACGGCCGCAAGGCUGAAACUCAAAGGAAUUGACGGGGGCCCGCACAAGCGGUGGAGUAUGUGGUUUAAUUCGACGCAACGCGAAGAACCUUACCAAGCCUUGACAUUGCUCGCAACGGGUAGAGAUACCCGGUUCUUCUUCGGAAGACGAGACAACAGGUGGUGCACGGCUGUCGUCAGCUCGUGUCGUGAGAUGUUGGGUUAAGUCCCGCAACGAGCGCAA